AGAGUUUGAUCCUGGCUCAGAAUCAACGCUGGCGGCGUGCCUAACACAUGCAAGUCGAACGAGAAAGUGGAGCAAUCCAUGAGUACAGUGGCGUACGGGUGAGUAACACGUGACUAACCUACCUCCGAGUGGGGAAUAACCCCGGGAAACCGGGGCUAACACCGCAUAAAACCGCAAGGUCAAAUGCGCAAGCAGCUUGGAGAGGGGGUCGCGGUUGAUUAGCUAGUUGGUGAGGUAAUGGCUCACCAAGGCGAUGAUCAAUAGCCGGCCUGAGAGGGCGCACGGCCACACUGGAACUGAAACACGGUCCAGACUCCUACGGGAGGCAGCAGUGGGGAAUUUUGCGCAAUGGGGGAAACCCUGACGCAGCAACGCCGCGUGGAGGAUGAAGCCCUUUGGGGCGUAAACUCCUUUCGACCCGGACGAUAAUGACGGUACGGGUGGAAGAAGCACCGGCUAACUCUGUGCCAGCAGCCGCGGUAAUACAGAGGGUGCAAGCGUUGUUCGGAAUUAUUGGGCGUAAAGGGCGCGUAGGCGGCGCAGUAAGUCACCUGUGAAAUCUCCUGGCUUAACUGGGAGCCUGCAGGCGAAACUACCGUGCUGGAGUGUGGGAGAGGUGCGUGGAAUUCCCGGUGUAGCGGUGAAAUGCGUAGAUAUCGGG
rnacentral:rRNA from 1 species